rnacentral:lncRNA from 1 species
CUCUGAAGAGGAAUCCUGAGGAGCCAGGAGGAAUUCUGAGGAAGUGAAAGGAGUUCUGAGGAGGAAGGAGGAAUUCUGAGGAGGUGGGAGGAGUUCUGAGGAAGGAGGAGGAGUUCUGAGGAGGGAGGAGGAAUACUGAGGUGGGAGGAGUUCUGAGGAUGGAGGAGGAGUUCUGAGGAAGGAGGAGGAGUUCUGAGGAGGGAGGAGGAAUUCUGAGGAGGUGGGAAGAGUUCUGAGGAGGGAGGAGGAAUUCUGAGGAGGUGGGAAGAGUUCUGAGGAGGGAGGAGGAAUUCUGAGGAGGUGGGAGGAGUUCUGAGGAGGGAGGAGGAAUCCUGAGGAGGCAGGAGUUCUGAGGAGGGAGGAAAAAUCCUGAGGAGGCAGGAGUUCUGAGGAGGGAGGAGGAAUCCUGAGGAGGCAGGAGUUGUGAGGAGGGAGGAGGAAUCCUGAGAAGGAAUCCUGAGGUAGGAGGAGUUCCGAGGGGGUGGGGAGUUCUGAGGAGGUGGGAGGAGUUCUGAGGAGGGAGAAGGAAUUCUGAGGAGGGGGGAGGAGUUCUGAGGAGGGAGAAGGAAUUCUGAGGAAGGAGGAGGAGUUCUGAGGAGGGAGGAGGAAUUCUGAGGAGGUGGGAGGAGUUCUGAGGAGGCAGGAGGAAUUCUGAGGAGGGAGGAGGAGUUCUGAGGAGGUGGGAGGAGUUCUGAGGAGGUGGGAGGAGUUCUGAGGAGGUGGGAGGAAUUCUAAUGGGGGGAGUUCUGAGGAGGGGGAGGAAUUCUGAGGAGGUAGGAGGAGUUCUGAGGAGGCAGGAGGAGUUCUGAGGAUGUGGGAGGAGUUCUGAGGAGGUGGGAGGAAUUCCCAGGAGGUGGGAGAAGUUCUGAGGAGGGAGGAGGAGAGAGGCAUCCUAGGUCAAGCCAGAAAGAAGAGUGGUGAAAUUGCUUCCUGAUUCCUCCUUGGUGACUCUGAGGUUAGAGAGGAAGCUAAACUCUGAAGCCCACCUUAUAUACGGAAGAUGAUCUGGGGUCUGUGGCAUUCCAGGUCCUGCUCUCUCCCUAGGCCAUCACUUCAGAUCUGCAAUGGACUUUGUAUGUCAGCCAUGAUAAACCAAGGCCAUACCAGUUUUCUAUUUGGUCCUCAAAUGUACCAAACUCUUUCCUGCCCCAGGGACUUUGCGUAUGUUGUCUCCUAUACCUGGAAUAUAUGUUUUCCAAGCCUCUGUCUCUGAGACUCGGAUGAAAUGUCAUUUCCUCAGACUGGCCUUUCCUGACCACUCCACUUGCCCCUCCCACCCUUAGUCUGCAUUAUGCCCCCUAGUAUUUUCUCCCCCAGUUUCCCGUUCUUUUCCUUAUCUCACUCUGAAGCUGUGGGCUCCUUUGAUGAACACAUACCCUCCACAGGGCAGGAAUCCUGCUGUUUAUCAAUUUGGUACACACUGCCCCUUGCACACAGCAAGUGCACAAAAAGCAUUUGUUAAAUAUGUAUAGAAGCAAUACCAGGCCCCAAGACAGUGGCCCUGCCUGUGAUAUAGUGGGAAGACAGAUAAACACGUACUUAAGACCAGGGU